CCUACGGGGGGCUGCAGUCGAGAAUAGUCUACAAUGGUCGAAAGACUGAUAGUGCGACGCCGCGUGAACGAAGAAGCCCUUCGGGGUGUAAAGUUCUUUUAUAUGUGAGCAGUGGGUUCCAUAUGAAUAGUAUGGGAUCAGAGAUAUUAGCAUAUGAAUAAGCAACGGCUAACUCCGUGCCAGCAGCCGCGGUAACACGGGGGUUGCGAGCGUUGUCCGGAAUUACUAGGCGUAAAGGGCAGGCAGGCGGAUCUAUAAGUUUUUCGUUUAAGGCGUCAGCUUAACUGGCGUACGGCGGGAGAUACUGUAGAUCUGGAAUGCGGUUGGGGAAGACAGAAUUCCUGGUGUAGCGGUGGAAUGCGCAGAGAUCAGGAGGAAUACCGAAGGCGAAGGCAGUCUUCCAAGCCGUCAUUGACGCUCAACUGCGAAGGUGUGGGUAUCAAACAGGAUUAGAUACCCCGGUAGUC
rnacentral:rRNA from 1 species